CAGGGGCGGCGGCAGCGGUCAGGGGCGCCGGCAGAUGGCACGGGCGGCGGCACCGGUCAGGGGCGCCGGCAGAUGGCAGGGGGGCGGCGGAGGUCAGGAGCGGCGGAGGAUGUCAGGGAUGGCGGAAUGUAGGGGAGGCGGCGGCGCAGGCAAGAUCCAGCCGGUGGAAGUCCGGCCGGUAGAGAUGGCAGGGGAGAAGGUGUGGCCGGGACUUGGUGCGCCGGGAGAGGGGUGGCGGAUGGGGGGAAGGAGGCGGCGGCGGAGGCGAGAUCCAGCCCCUGGAAGGUCCGGCGGCGGCGAGAUCCAGCCGGUGGAAGGUCCGGCCGGGAGAGAUGGCAGGGGAGAAGGUGCGGCCGGGAGAUGGUGCGCCGGGAGAGCGGUGAAAAACCCUAGAGCGCGAGGGAAGGGGACGGCGGGGAUGGGAUGUUUGGGCUUUUGAG
rnacentral:lncRNA from 1 species